UACGUAGGGCGCAAGCGUUGUCCGGAAUUAUUGGGCGUAAAGAGCUCGUAGGCGGCUUGUCACGUCGGGUGUGAAAGCCCGGGGCUUAACCCCGGGGUCUGCAUUCGAUACGGGCAGGCUAGAGUGUGGUAGGGGAGAUCGAAUUCCUGGUGUAGCGGUGAAAUGCGCAGAUAUCAGGAGGAACACCGGUGGCGAAGGCGGAUCUCUGGGCCAUUACUGACGCUGAGGAGCGAAAGCGUGGGGAGCGAACAGG
rnacentral:rRNA from 1 species